GUUUCUGUAGUGUAACGGUCAUCACGUUUGCUUAUCACGCGAAAGGUCCUUGGUUCAAAACCGAGCAAGAACA